UUUAAACUCUAGUAUUAAUUUCUGUCUGAUAAGUGAUACCUACUUCAUUGACAUUUCCUUGGCACCCAAUUAAAGUCAAAAUAUAUACAUAUCCAAAUCAGGAAGGUUUACACUAACGCUCAAGUAUGUAAUAUCGUUGAAAACCCUCACAUGAUGACUUGAGAGAAUAGUAUGCAUUCAUGAAUUUAACUGCACCCUCC
rnacentral:lncRNA from 1 species